rnacentral:pre_miRNA from 1 species
AACCCUGUGGAUCCGAUCUUGUGUCGCUAUAAAAACCGCAAGGCUGGAUCGACAGGUUCA